rnacentral:lncRNA from 1 species
AUGGCCGAUGGAGGCUAUUUAGCCGCGCCCGCCGCCCCUCCCUCGCGACCCACCCGCGCCAGGCAUCCUGGGACUUGUAGUUUUGUGGAGGCGGCCGAGCCCGUCCAACCUGGGGCGGGCGGGCUUUCGGGACCGCAAUUCCCGGCAGGGAGCACGCCCUCCGGCGCGGGCAGCCAGAACUGGAAGGGUUCAGGGGGCUGCGGGGCUGUCGGGGCCGAGUCCGCAGGUUUGCGGGGGCUGCGCGCUCCCCUCGCUCUCCUCCUCUCGCCGUGUAGCGGCGGCGCCGAGGGCUCGGCGGAGGGGGACGUUCUUAGUCGCCGUCGAGGCUUGGGGUACGUAAGUGAAAUCGGAGGGCAAAUGCAAAACAAGCACCGCAGCCCUGGCUUUCGACUCGUCAGCCGCCUCUCAGCAGCCCUGUAUCGCUAUCGCAGUACCGUCCCCCCAGCCUCACCCCGGCCCCUGGUCCCCGUGGAGGUGGGAGGCGAGGGAGCCCCCCGCCCCCGCCCCGGGCAGGGCUGCCCUCGGCCUGACCCCCUGGCGCCGCGGUUCUCGGGGUCCCGCGCGCAUCUCCCGGAGGGUUUGAUAAAACACCGAUCCGUGGACCUCAGAGUUUCUGUUUCAGGUCUGCGGCGUGACCCGGGACUUGGCGAAUCUAACAAGCUGCCGGCAGAUGCGGCCGCUCCUGGUCUGGGGGCUUCGCCCGGGCCCCGACCUCCCGCGGGGGCCAGUAGGUGUCCUCGGGGCACAGCGGGAGACCAGCCUGUCUGCUGGACCCGAACCUUCGGUAGGAUCGGCGCCCCACGGAAAUGGGAGGGGUGGGGCCAUGGGGAAGAAGGAUGGAGAAAUCAGGAAUUCCAGCCCAGAGAUGCUGCCUCUGAAGAGGACCUCAGAUGGGUCUACUGACGUUAUUCUCUUGCCACCUGAAAUGCCCUGUCGACCUAAAGUAAUUCUUGGCAAUGUGCAGAUAACAUGAAGGCAAGCAUAACUUUCAGAAGUCAUCAAAGAUAUGGUCCUAUUGUCCUCAUUUUCUUAAACCAUUAAAAUAUUUUCAUUUAUAAAAAUUAAUCUAAAUAUAAAUAUUGACACUGAAGAUCAAAAUCACUUGAUGACAAAAUAAUUCUUCUGAAACUAUAACAUAUGCUUAUGGUUUUUAAUAGUAAAUUAAAUCUUUGCACUUAUUUGGCACAAGGAAACCUUUAUAAAAUUUCAAAUGCCAUAGAGCAGGCUUCUUCUUUUUUUUUUUUUUUUUUUUGCAAGGCUUACACAGUACACAUUUUUGUCAAAGGAAACUGAAUAUUUUAACACUGUAACACAACAAUAGUUGC